rnacentral:lncRNA from 1 species
UUCUGUAUUAUGCCCAUCUCUCUCUCUCUCUCUCUCUAUCUAUCUAUCUAUCUAUCUUGCCCUAUAUUGUUUUGAAGGUGAAGGGAAGAGUUGAAAAGGCAAUGAAGACGAGAGAGAUGCCUUCCUUCGCCUUGGAAGGUGGCAGCAAAACCUGGGCCUGAGAGGUAUAUCCUGUGUCAUAUUCUUUCUCAUUUUCAUUCACCUUUUAUGAUUUUUGUUUCUGUGGUUUUUCUUUUUCUUUUCACAUCUAAACAUUGAAAUAUCUUGGAUUAGAUUUCCAUCUUCGUCCAAUCAGAAUCCAAAAGGGAGGUUAAACUAUCUUCAAUAUUGCCUGUCUUCCAUGUGUCUGGCCUUACGAGAACUCCUCUCUCUCAUUUUUAUAAGGCAACAUAUCUUUCUGUAUCCAACUAAUUGGAAAAGAACUAGAUGCGUCAUACUGAUUGCUUUGGUUUGCGAUGGUAGAAAAGUUUUGUAUUCUAUGAUCUGUUCUCUUUUUGUUUGAUUAAUGCUUGCUUCGGCUCGCCUUGGUUGCUUAAGUGAUAGUUAUUCUUUCUGGCCCAAGUAAGCAUUUUCAGAUACAAAAUGCAAAGAAGUGAUAACAAAAAUUACAAAAUUCAAAUUAAGGAUAGAUUUCUACGUUUAACAUGCAAAACCCUUGACAGAAAUAAUGUUUCAACUUUAAUAUCUGAGUUUCCCUGCCAAUAAAAACUUCUGAUAAUCAUAUUUUGAUCGUCUUUUCUCUCUCUUUGUUCUAGAUGGUCUUCUAUUUAAUUUGCCAUCUGGCCUUCGCUUGCAGAUCUCUCCCUCAAAGUACUGACUCCCAUGUAUGUACCUGUAGGAAACCAAAAUCCCAUCACAUUGGCUCAUCAGAUCAUAUCCAUGCAUGGUCCAUUUUUAGUUUUUACUUGUCCCUUAAUUUAUUUCCACAGUUGAAAAGUCGUUUAGUAGAUUCCAUUCACAAUUUUGUGAAUUUUACAUGUGUAAAUGCAAGAAAAAAGAGAGGAAGAACUUGAUAUUUGUGAACGCUUUUUUACAUAUGUA